UACGAAGGUUGCAAGCGUUACUCGGAAUUACUAGGCGUAAAGGGCAGGUAGGUGGUUUGGUAAGUCUAUUGUGAAAGCUCCCGGCUUAACUGGGAGAGGCCAAUGGAUACUGCCAAGCUUGGGUAUAGGAGAGGUUACUGGAAUUCCCGGUGUAGCGGUGAAAUGCGCAGAUAUCGGGAGGAACACCAAUGGCGAAAGCAGGUAACUGGACUAUUACUGACACCCAACUGCGAAAGCUAGGGGAGCAAACAGG
rnacentral:rRNA from 1 species